CUUGGCAAACAGUUCAUGGAACUGAAGCAAGAAUAACAGUAUUCAAAUCAUAUUCAUCAGGUGCAAUGCUCACAUAGUGUGUCUACUAUGCUUUGUUAUUGCAGCAGGCAAGCUCCAGCGAGGAAGAGGCCGCUGCCGCCCAUGUGCCUCUCCCGACGGCCCCACCCCAAGUGUCCGUGGGCACAGAGCCGGGGACGAGCGGCACUGCACGACCACCAACUCGGCAGCAGCCCCAAAGACCACCUCGGCAGCAGCAGCCGCUAGAGGAUGCGGCCUGCAGGGCAGCAGAGGAAUGCGCAAGGCAGAGGCAGCUGGCGGAGGCUGCAAACGUGGAGGCUGUCGCCUUCCACCAGAUGCUUCUUGAGCAACACAGACAGCAUCAUCAACAACUGGUGGAGGAGCUGAGGGCCUCCCGCGUGGUGCAGCAGCAGUUGGUGGUGGAGACGAGGGGGUUUGCGGGAGGCGACUGCCCUCGUCGCAGCCACCUUGCGCCAGCUCGUGGCUGCCCUCGCCCGUGGCCUCCGCGAGCCGCCUCAGCCGUAGUUUGUGACAGGAGUCACCAUUAUAUGUUGUUUAUUAUGUCAUUUGUUUAGUAUCUAACGUUUCGCAUAAUGCAUAAUUUAUUGUAAUUUUUUUCUUAUGUUUAGUUCCACUUGCUGAGCAAGUUUGUCUCAGUGAGUGAACUGUAUGUCUAAUGUUUCAUCUUUUUGGUUAGGUGUGUGCUUUCGUUUUGUUGUUUAUGAGCUAUUUAUGUAUUUGCUGCUUUUCAAGGAACAUGUUGACUAUGUGGUCACUUUUAUUUUAGCCACAAGUGUUUCACACACAAAUGCUGUGAUAACAGGUAUUGAAAUCCACUGUUAUGAUUUUCACACUAUAUUUAUGUUGUUUCCAAUCUUUUUUGCCCUAUGGAACCCACAAGUGGCCAUAUUAUUUAUUUUAGCAACAAGUGCGUGUUACUUGCAAUAGUUAUUGUGAUAUAUCAGGUUGCCAUAUCGGUGAUAGCAAUGCAAUCUAGUCCCCAUUGAUGUUGAGAAUUUUUUAUACACCCAACGUAGCCAUUGAUGUAGCCAUUAUUUUACUACAUUCACUGCCAGGCUGUUCUUGUUGGCCUUGUUAUAUGUCAGAUUAUCGAAGUGCACGGUAUUUUUUCACGUCUGUCAUUCCUUAAAGGCGCCGGACUGCACUUUCACACGGGUGGCCCUAUUGUGGCAGUAUUUAUUGCAAAUAGCAUCUAUUUUGUGCUACAAACACGGAUGCGUAACAGGCAAGUCUUGCAACACCUUUUUGUGCUGUGAAGUUGCUGGGUGAACGCAAAUGAUCGUGGAUGAGCCCAAAGAAAAACAGUAUCAAUGACAGACAUUUAUGUGAUUUAAUGUGUGCCAGCAGCCUUUCACAAUGUAUUAGAUCCCAUUUAGUGGAAACCGUACUGUCACUUUGGCACCGUGAAAUCGUACCCUGUGUACAUUGAUUUGUAUCAUGAUGACUGUUAUUCACUUCGAAUAAAACAUGACCCUGAAGAUGUGUUGAAAUUGUUCGUUUACUGUAGGGACAUGAAGGAACGAGUUUCAAGAACAUCACUGGCACUUGAUAUCACUUUUUACAAAUAUAUGUACAGUUAUACAACUAUGUACAAAUGAAUGUACAUCCAAGGGAGCAUCAUGUGCUUGACAUGCCAGGCGAUCUGUGUCAGCAUGACUUGGCCUGUUAAAAGGAACUGUGCGGAGGCUGUGUGGCAAAGCUGUGUGGGGCCUGCAAGGUGUGCAAGAACAGUACAUAUGAUGGAGCGAAAAGUGUGCUUUGCUGCGGCCCAAGCAGGAAGAGAGGAGACGAAGUCCAAUAUCCUCCCAUGCACAGUGCAGACGGCGGUGACAGUGGCGGUG